rfam:Pseudomonas sp. 20_BN genome assembly, contig: CONTIG000001
CUUCUUCGAUCUGUUGCGGGCAGAUGAAGUGAAUAUGCGAGUCGAUCCCGCCGGCGGUGAGAAUCAUGCCUUCACCGGCGAUGACCUCGGUGCUGGCGCCGAUGGCGAUGGUCACAUCCGGCUGGAUGUCAGGAUUGCCGGCCUUGCCGAUGGCGGCGAUCCGACCGUCCUUGAGGCCCACGUCAGCCUUGACGAUGCCCCAGUGGUCGAGGAUCAGUGCGUUGGUGAUCAGCGUAUCGACCACCUCCGCCGCGCACAGCUGGCCUUGGCCCAUGCCGUCGCGGAU